rnacentral:rRNA from 1 species
AGAGUUUGAUCCUGGCUCAGGAUGAACGCUGGCGGCGUGCCUAACACAUGCAAGUCGAGCGAAGCACAUGAAUACUAUUCUUCGGAUGAGGAUUCUUGUGACUGAGCGGCGGACGGGUGAGUAACGCGUGGGCAACCUGCCUUACGCGGGGGGAUAACAGUUAAAAAUGACUGCUAAUACCGCAUAACACCACAAAACCGCGUGGUUUGGUGGAAAAAACUCCGGUGGUGUAAGAUGGGCCCGCGUCUGAUUAGGUAGUUGGUGGGGUAACGGCCUACCAAGCCGACGAUCAGUAGCCGACCUGAGAGGGUGACCGGCCACAUUGGGACUGACACACCGCCCACACUCCUACGGGAGGCAGCGGUGGGGAAUAUUGCACGGUGGGGGAAACCCUGAUGCAGCCACCCCGCGUGAGCAAUGAAGUAUUUCGGUAUGUAAAGCUCUAUCAGCAGGAAAGAAAAUGACGGUUCCUGACUAAGAACCCCCUGGCUAACUACGUGCCACCCGCCGCGAUAAUACGUAGGGGGCAAGCGUUAUCCUGAUUUUCUUGGGAGUAAAG